ensembl:lncRNA
CCCACGGCUCGCAGAGAACAUUCUGCGCGUCCCCUCUGAGAACAGUGCGCUCAUUCUUUUCUUCUCUGCCGUAUAAAUAAGCCCUCAGGCAGCAGCAGCCCCCAGUGUGUCUGGGGAAUGUAACCGGGUAGAAUUGGAAUGAGAUGCCUGCAGAGACAGCACGAGGGGGUGAACCCUACACAUGCCAGGAAGACGUUGUCAAACGUGGUGAACCCCCUUCAGUAAGAAGCUGUUGCGACCCAUUCUCACCUUAUCAAAUCAGAGGCUGCGUGAAGUCCUGGGGGGGUUUAAAAACCACUUGCUGGGUUACAUGGAGGCAGAAUCGUGGAAUUGUUUUCUCGGAUGGACCCACAUGCGACUGGAUUCAUCUUUUUUUUUUUUUUUUGCAGUUACAAACUAAACUUCAUUUUAUUUUAUUUUAUUUUUAA